rnacentral:misc_RNA from 1 species
UCUCUCAUCAUGACCUUGGAUAUUGCUAUUGGAAUAUAUUUUUUUCUUAAGGUCUAAAUUAGAUUUUUUAAAUAUUACAAUUUGAAAUAGGCAUUUGGUAAAUUAGUUUGCUAACUUGUUUGCUAAAAUAUUAGUUUGCUAAUGUGUUUGCUAAAACAUUGGUUUGCUAACUAGUUUAGUACUGUCGCCAAAAUUUCAUUAGUUUGCUAAAUGAUCAGAGUUGCUUAACUUCGCACAAAAAGACAAAAUAACGGCUAUUUUGCCUAGAACAGAGUGUAUAACGUUCCAAAAAGGUUUCAAACAGUUUAAAAUGAUUUGGGAUUAUAAAUACGUCUUUCUUACUUCAUUUUACACUAGAUGAAAGUUUACAUUUACACUCCAAU